GACGAACGCUGGCGGCGUGCCUAAUACAUGCAAGUAGAACGCUGAAGAGGGGAGCUUGCUCUUCUUGGAUGAGUUGCGAACGGGUGAGUAACGCGUAGGUAACCUGCCUUGUAGCGGGGGAUAACUAUUGGAAACGAUAGCUAAUACCGCAUAACAAUGGAUGACACAUGUCAUUUAUUUGAAAGGGGCAAUUGCUCCACUACAAGAUGGACCUGCGUUGUAUUAGCUAGUAGGUGAGGUAAUGGCUCACCUAGGCGACGAUACAUAGCCGACCUGAGAGGGUGAUCGGCCACACUGGGACUGAGACACGGCCCAGACUCCUACGGGAGGCAGCAGUAGGGAAUCUUCGGCAAUGGGGGCAACCCUGGCCGAGCAACGCCGGGUGAGUGAAGAAGGUUUUCGGAUCGUAAAGCUCUGUUGUAAGUCAAGAACGGGUGUGAGAGUGGAAAGUUCACACUGUGACGGUAGCUUACCAGAAAGGGACGGCUAACUACGUG
rnacentral:rRNA from 1 species